ensembl:lncRNA
GGUGUCGUGUCCUGCUAGGUGUCGUGUCCUGCUUGGUGUCGUGUCCUGCUUGGUGCCGUGUCCUGCUAGGUGUCGUGUCCUGCUUGGUGUCGUGUCCUGCUAGGUGUCGUGUCCUGCUUGGUGUCGUGUCCUGCUUGGUGUCGUGUCCUGCUAGGUGUCGUGUCCUGCUUGGUGUCGUAUCCUGCUAGGUGUCGUGUCCUGCUAGGUGUCGUGUCCUGCUAGGCGUCGUUUCCUGCUAGGCGUCGUGUCCUGCUUGUGUCCUGCUUGGUGUCGUGUCCUGCUAGGCGUCGUGUCCUGCUAGGUGUCGUGUCCUGCUAGGCGUCGUGUCCUGCUAGGUGUCCUGCUAGGUGUCGUGUCCUGCUAGGUGUCGUGUCCUGCUAGGCGUCGUUUCCUGCUAGGCGUCGUGUCCUGCUUGUGUCCUGCUUGGCGUCGUUUCCUGCUAGGUGUCGUGUCCUGCUUGGUGUCGUGUCCUGCUAGGUGUCGUGUCCUGCUUGGUGUCGUGUCCUGCUAGGUGUCGUGUCCUGCUAGGUGUCGUGUCCUGCUAGGUGUCGUGUCCUGCUAGGUGUCGUGUCCUGCUUGGUGUCGUGUCCUG